rnacentral:rRNA from 1 species
UACGUAGGGGGCAAGCGUUGUCCGGAAUCAUUGGGCGUAAAGCGCGUGUAGGCGGCCAGGUAAGUCCGUUCUGAAAGCCCGGGGCUCAACCCCGGGAGGCGGAUGGAUACUGCUUGGCUCGAGUCCGGAAGAGGCGAGUGGAAUUCCCGGUGUAGCGGUGAAAUGCGCAGAUAUCGGGAGGAACACCAAUGGCGAAGGCAGCUCGCUGGGUCGACACUGACGCUCAGGCACGAAAGCGUGGGGAGCAAACAGGG